CAUGUACUUCCUCCGUCCCAUAUUAAGUGACACAAAUUUGCCCAAAUAUGGAUGUAGUUAUGCCUAAAAAGCGUCUAGAUACAUGUAAUAGAAAGUCACUUAAUAUGGGACGGAGGGAGUAUAUG
rfam:Brachypodium distachyon strain Bd21 chromosome 2, whole genome shotgun sequence.